rnacentral:rRNA from 1 species
CACGUAGGGGACGAGCGUUGUCCGGAUUCAUUGGGCGUAAAGCGCGCGUAGGCGGCUCGGAAAGUCGGUCGUGAAAUGCCGGGGCUCAACCCCGGGACUGCGUCCGAUACUCCCGAGCUGGAGGCAGGUAGGGGAGAUCGGAAUUCCUGGUGUAGCGGUGAAAUGCGCAGAUAUCAGGAAGAACACCCGUGGCUAAGGCGGUUCUCUAGUACGGUACUGACGCUGAGACGCGAAAGCGUGGGGAGCGAACAGG